UACGUAGGGGGCGAGCGUUGUCCGGAUUCAUUGGGCGUAAAGAGCUCGUAGGCGGCUUGGUAAGUCGGGUGUGAAACCUCCAGGCUCAACCUGGAGACGCCACUCGAUACUGCCAUGGCUAGAGUCCGGUAGGGGCCCACGGAAUUCCUGGUGUAGCGGUGAAAUGCGCAGAUAUCAGGAGGAACACCGAUGGCGAAGGCAGGUCUCUGGGCUGACACUGACGCUCAUGCACGAAAGCGUGGGGAGCAAACAGG
rnacentral:rRNA from 1 species